UAGAUGUUGGCGAUAUAUUGUCAGUGUUUUAGAGAAAUCGUUAAGUGAUCCACCUGGGGAGUACGUUCGCAAGAAUGAAACUCAAAGGAAUUGACGGGGGCCCGCACAAGCGGAGGAGCAUGUGGUUUAAUUCGAUGAUACGCGAGGAACCUUACCAAGACUUAAAUGUAUUUUGGCAGGUUGAGAAAUCAACUUUUCUUCGGACAAUUUACAAGGUGCUGCAUGGUUGUCGUCAGCUCGUGCCGUGAGGUGUCGGGUUAAGUCCCAUAACGAGCGCAACCCCUAUUUUUAGUUACCAGCGGGUCAUGUCGGGAACUCUAGAAAGACUGCCUGUGUAAACAGUGAGGAAGGUGGGGAUGACGUCAAAUCAUCACGGCCCUUAUGUCUUGGGCUACACACGUGCUACAAUGGUCACUACAGUGGGCUGCCAUCUGGCAACAGAGAGCAAAUCCAUAAAGGUGAUCCCAGUUCGGAUCGGAGUCUGCAACUCGACUCUGUGAAGUUGGAUUCGCUAGUAAUCGUAUAUCAGCAAUGAUACGGUGAAUACGUUCCCGGGCCUUGUACACACCGCCCGUCAAGCCAUGGAAGUUUGUGGUGCCUGAAGUCAGUAACCGUAAGGAUCUGCCUAGGGUAAAACAGAUAACUAGGGCU
rnacentral:rRNA from 1 species